AGUAGGAAAUGGCUAAUAAGUGACGGUACCGUUACCAGUAAACGGGAACGGCUAACUACGUGCCAGCAGCCGCGGUAAUACGUAGGUCCCGAGCGUUAUCCGGAAUUAUUGGGCGUAAAGGGCACGUAGGCGGACAAAUAAGUUUGAUGUCAAAUAUGAUGGCUCAACCAUCAAGAGGCGUUGAAAACUGUUUAUCUAGAAUCUCGGAGAGGUAAGUGGAAUUCCAUGUGUAGCGGUGGAAUGCGUAGAUAUAUGGAGGAACACCAAUGGCGAAGGCAGCUUACUGGACGAAGAUUGACGCUGAGGUGCGAAAGCGUGGGUAGCAAACAGGAUUAGAUACCCUGGUAG
rnacentral:rRNA from 1 species